GCAGCUCAGGGAACACAGACACAGAGACAGUACUGGGGAGACAAGUGACCGGGAAAUACAGACUACAACAGGUUCUGGACAGCGGAGCUUGGUGAAUGUUACAGGACGGAAGCCCAGCCGAGCUAGUCGUAUUCUGCAUUCAUUACCGGAGGGUGGUUGGCGUUCGCAUGCCGUUUAGGGCUGCCAACGGCGAAGAUAGAUAGCGGGUUGUAGGGCGAGGUUCCUGUGCGAGGCAGGGCUGAGGUACUGGUAGCGGAAAUAUAGAAGUGCUUUUGUCCACUCUCCAACCCGUUGACAAGGCUCUCCUGCUGCGAGUGGACACGCCUCACUGCGCUGGACCAACAGACCCCUCAGACCCCGGGGGAGGGUCUCGAACCCCGAGAAAAUAGCGCUCUAUGCUACCAGGAAUAGCGCAGCAGCACCUCUGGCACCGGGAAACCCGACAGCGCUCCGUGUGACCGGAAAAGCAGGGAAGCACCUCUAGCAACAAGGGAGAAAAUCUGCAUUGUUCACAGGGAGUUCAAUGGAGUCCUGCUUGGGGACAGAGGCUAUGCCUGCAUGCCGUACCUGCUCACACCCUACCCAGAUCCAGGAAUAGAGGCGGAGAGGGCCUUCAACCAUGCCCACACAAAAACGAGGGCACGGAUAGAGAUGACCUUUGACCAAUUGAAAUCCAGUCCCUGCAGGUUCCAGUGCCUGAAAGGCCUCAGGGUUACUCCUGACCGGGCAGUCUUGCACAACAUUGCUACUAUACGCCGGGAGAGACUGCCCACAAUGUUGGUGGAGGAGCAAUGGGAGGACCUCGACCCGGCCCUUCAGGAACCGAUGGAUGGAACGACAGUGAGGGACCUUUACAAGGACACAUAUUUCAGUUAAUCCCCAUUGUGGUGACCUUUGUUUGAGUUAUCCCCUUUUUUCAGAACUUAGCAUGUUCUGUACAAUUUUAAUAAACACAUGUGUGCCUAAGUUGUGUUGAAUUUCUGUAUUAAUUCACUCAUUUGAUUCAAGCUGUGGAGACAAAACACAGAAAAUUAAAUACAGUCCAAACCAUGA